rnacentral:rRNA from 1 species
UACGUAGGUGGCAAGCGUUGUCCGGAAUUAUUGGGCGUAAAGCGCGCGCAGGUGGUUUCUUAAGUCUGAUGUGAAAGCCCACGGCUCAACCGUGGAGGGUCAUUGGAAACUGGGGAACUUGAGUGCAGGAGAGAAGAGUGGAAUUCCACGUGUAGCGGUGAAAAUGCGUAGAGAUGUGGAGGAACACCAGUGGCGAAGGCGACUCUUUGGCCUGUAACUGACACUGAGGCGCGAAAGCGUGGGGAGCAAACAGG